GUGCCAGCCGCCGCGGUAAUACGUAGGCAGCGAGCGUUGUUCGGAGUUACUGGGCGUAAAGCGUGCGUAGGCGGUCGUCCAAGUCUGGUGUGAAAUCUCCCGGCUCAACCGGGAGGGUGCGCCGGAAACUGGGCGGCUGGAGUACGGGAGAGGCAAGCGGAAUUCCAGGUGUAGCGGUGAAAUGCGUAGAUAUCUGGAGGAACACCCGUGGUGCAGACGGCUUGCUGGACCGUAACUGACGCUGAGGCACGAAAGCGUGGGUAGCAAACAGGAUUAGAUACCCUGGUAGUCCACGCCCUAAACGAUGCGCACUUGGUGUGGGCAGUUCAGUCUGUCCGUGCCGAAGCUAACGCGAUAAGUGCGCCGCCUGGGGAGUACGGUCGCAAGGCUGAA
rnacentral:rRNA from 1 species